ensembl:lncRNA
CUGGAGAAGGUACUCUUUGUGAAAAAGACAGAGAUAAAAACAGACAGAGUCACAAUCUACUUGGAAGAGCUGGAUAAGACUUCUCUGAAGCUUAACAUCUCAGUGGAACAAGAUAUUGAAGUACAGAACCUGAAACCAGCAACAGUGCAUGUCUAUGACUACUAUAAGCCAGAUGACCGCACAGCAAGAGAAUACAAUUCCCCUUGCAGUUCAGAUGUCUAGAUGGAUUCCUACCAGAACUCCAUGGCUCUGGAACCAGCAAUCUGAGUUUCCCGCUUCCAAAAGGAAAACUUCAUUGCUCUGGCUCUACUCUGUGUACUCUGCUGUACACACUUGUGUUCUGUUGGAUGCACCCUGUUUCUUCUGAUGCCCUAGUUUUUAUGUGAAACAUGACUUGACGUGCAGUACUUUGGGUUCAAGUGAAAUAAAGUACACAGAACUUGAAAAGAAUGCAGUGACUUGAUAGUUGAUGAAAUCUGCACAGAGUUCAAUGUCUGAAAAAGAAGAGAGAGAAACAUUUCUUAGGUCAUGAUUACAAAAAUUUCUUUUUGUUGUCAUAUUGGCUUAAGAAUUCCUUUCCUCCCUGAGUCCCAUCUCUGGGAUACCUUCUCAAAUGUUUUAGCACAACAUUGUGUUUGCAAUCAAACUCCAAGCAAAAAAUGUAAUUUUUAACCAUGUUCUGGGGUUGCUACAUGGCUCUCUGAACCAUCUUUCUUUCACAGCUGAAGAGUAAGAACAGGCAAGAGAAAGCCAAAGGAGAACUACUUUACCAGUUGUCCAGACAGUGUCCUAUGAAGGGAGGCCAUUAGGCCAAAAUACUCCUCUCCAAAUUCUCUGUGUGUUGUGUAGACACUUGUUUGUCUCUAGUUCUUAUGUCAAGCUGGAGUAUUUUAGAAAUUCCAUAAGGGUGUGAUCCUGCAGAUCUCUCUCAGAUCCGAAUUCCAUUCCAAGGGCUCCAGGAUCUUCUUUCAAUGCCAACUGCUUUCAAUGCUACAACCACCUUGUAGUACCAGGACAACGGUAGCACUGCAGGAUGGGAUCAAGAUCACAAUUAAGACCCUGUGGCAAAUACUGGUGAAUAAGCAGAACUGUACCUGUCCUCAGACUCCUGAAUAGGUCCUGAAUAAAGAAGGUAAAGAGGGAUGAGCACAGAACAAUUCCAUGCAUAGUGUAGUUGGUGUCUUUUUCAUUGUCAUAUCUCCCUCUGAAUUGUAGAGGUUCCCUUUUUUUGCUUGCCUUUUUGCAUACCCAUGCAUUGAACAAUAUAUUCAGUGUUAACUACACCUUCUUUAGUAUCAUCUCUUGUAUUGUUCACCACUACUCAAUGUUGAUCUUUUUCUAUAAACAAUCUGAAUUGACUGUCUAUCUAGGAGUGAUUUAUAGAACUGUUAUCCUUUUCAUUUUCUCUCUCUCUCUCUUUUUUAUUUUUUAUUUUAUUUUUUAUUUUUUAAAUGCAGGGUCAGUCACAUAAAAGUGUAUGGCCCUUUCUGUUUUCUUUGAAGAUUGUCAUCUCCCUGUGUUGGAACUCUAAUUUACAUGACUAUACCUCCCACUUCCCAUAGAAUUGGUUUCAGUUUUCACAUUUCAGGGAAAUAUAAAGUGAAGCAAGUCAUGUGACCAGGGUUGUUUGGGGAAGUUCACUCUUUCCAUGAACUACUGUGCUGGGUCUGGCUGGGUCUGGCUUCUUUCCGUAAUAUUUUCUUCUCCUCCUCUUCUUCUGAGGAAGGGGAGUGAGAGAGCAGUUAUGGUGGAGUUUAGCUGCCCUGCGAGGGACAGUAAAUCUAUUUUUUCUCCAACCACUGAGAGUAUCUGCCCAUGAAGCAGGCAGACCCAGUCCUUCUUCCCCUACUUAUUGUUCUGAGCUUUCUUGUCCAGUAGGGACAAGAAAAAAAUGAAAAUAUAAAUUCCACAAACAUUUGGUAUGAGGCAGAAAACUUGAGAAAGUAUUUUUUGGGGGAACUGAUACAAAAAGAGGACAUGGCUGAGCUCAAAAGGUCAAAAAAAUGAACAAACUGCAUGGGGCCUCCAAGCAGUAUUCCUCUAAUAUUGGACCUUCCUGAGACAUCCUGGGAGUCAAUAGGUACGGCCCGAUGAUGCUCCUUUGCCACUGGAUGGGAAAGGACAAGGGAGCAACGUGGGCAGCACAGACUCUUAGUUGCCUUCCUGGCAGGUUUCCUACUCUGGAUAUUUGGGCUGGACAGAAGAAGAUUAGGUAGCAUGGUGCUUUUACCUGGUUGAACUUCAGAUAGGAAGUUUGUAAAUAAAAAUAGAAGAUUGUAACACAAUACACUUGGUGCGCACAUGUGCCAGGAUCUCCUGCCCCUUAAUAAACACAUGUCAAGGGUCUAUUUUUCACCUUCUGUCAAGUAACAGCCGUGAAGUUACAUCUGAGUAGAAACAAGCCUACCAAGACUCCUCUCCUAAUAAAAAGUCUUGCUACCUUGCAUCUGGGUGGGGUAGUUUAGUAAGGAAAUGAAGUACAUGAAAUGUGAGUACAAAAAGAUGUUUCCGGGCUGUGGUUUCAUAUCAGAUUGGUGUUGUUCAGCUGCACAUGAGAGGCUGAGGAAGUUGGUAAAACAGAGGGUUUGAAAAGACCUGCUGCAAGCUUCCUUAAGACAGGAGUCUACAGUAGAUGUCAGUGAAGUCUUUGCCUCUUCGAGCAAACACUGGGGACUGUGAUAAGUGGCUAGUCUGUGCGGUAGCUGAGUGACCUGAAGCUUGCUCAGUUCUUCUGAGUGUAGAAUAGGUGCUCUCUAUUAUAGGUGAUAUCCAUUAGAAACACCUUCCUGUGCCAGAAAGAAACUUUCAGUAUGUAUAAAUGAAGGUGGGGUAUGAAUAACUGGCAGAUGGCCAGGAGACUUCCUCCCAUCACCUCACCACAGCAGCUUUCACAGUUUGGUUGCCCAGAUGACCUGGAGGCAGUUGAGAAACUUCCUAUACCUCCUAUAAAGUUCUGCUGCUUCAGACCAAAAAAAAAAAAAAAAAAAAAAAAAAAGCCUGAAAAACACAAUACGGCUAACAGGAAAUCGGGUAAGUAGCAUCUCAGCUACCAAGGGAUUUUUCUGCAAAGCAAAGCUCUUAAAAGGAGUGAGAAAUAGCCCCCUUAAAAAGGAGAACUGUAAGCAUGUGAGAUGGCCCUGAAUAGAUUCUGACCUUGUUAGGAAGCUCUUAUCAAAAAUAAAUAGCAUAUUUAAAAUCUAUACAUGUAGAAGACAGUUGGCAUGCUGAAGAGAUAGGGAUUUGUUGAAGCAUUCAUAAAGGUUUGGUGAGUGUGGCUUACUUGG